rnacentral:rRNA from 1 species
GAUGAACGCUAGCGGCAGGCUUAACACAUGCAAGUCGAGGGGUAUAGGUUUUCGGACCUAGAGACCGGCGCACGGGUGCGUAACGCGUAUGCAAUCUACCUUUCACAGAGGGAUAGCCCAGAGAAAUUUGGAUUAAUACCUCAUAGUAUAGCAGUUUCGCAUGAAACCACUGUUAAAGUUCCAACGGUGAAAGAUGGGCAUGCGUCCUAUUAGCUAGAUGGUAAGGUAACGGCUUACCAUGGCUACGAUGGGUAGUGGUCCUGAUCGGGAGAUACCCCACAAUGGUACUGAGACACGGACCCGACUCCUACGGGAGGCAGCAGUGAGGAGUAUUGGUCAAUGGACGACAGUCUGAACCAGCCAUGCCGCGUACAGGAUGACGGUCCUAUGGAUUGUAAACUGCUUUUGUACGAGAAGAAACAACAUUACGUGUAAUGUCUUGACGGUAUCGUAAGAAUAAGGAUCGGCUAACUCCGUGCCAGCCGCCGCGGUAAGAC